rnacentral:misc_RNA from 1 species
GAUGAAGAACGUAGCGAAAUGCGAUAAGUAAUGUGAAUUGCAGAAUUCAGUGAAUCAUCGAAUCUUUGAACGCACCUUGCGCCCUUUGGCUAUUCCGAAGGGCAUGCCUGUUCGAGCGUCAUUAUCAACCCUCAAGCCCGGCUUGUCAUUGGACCUCACCGCGCGUCGGUGGGCCGGAAAUGUAGUGGCGGAGUCGGUUGGCCCCCUGGUGCAGCGAGCUUCUCAGCACGCACCGUGGCGGUCUUCCGGCUCGGCCUUGACCACAAAUUUUCUCAGGUUGACCUCGGAUCAGGUAGGAAUACCCGCUGAACUUAAGCAUAUCAAUAAGCGGAGGA